AUUUUAUCUGAACCCGAUUACUCAGCUGGGACAUCACUCUCAUGUAGAAACUGCUAACUCACCAGGGAUGCAGGAGGCUGGAUGCAGGACUCCCCAGCUCAUGGACCAAGCAGAGACUAACAUUGGCAGGGAUCCAAAAAAAGUCUUUGCAGCACAGGACUAUCCAUUGUGAACGGCAACCACAGUCAGCAAGGCUCUGUUCCUUUAACGUGAAGACAUUUUCCUUGUGGCGCUUGGUAUUGCACAUUUGAUCUGUGUUCCAUGCACAGCUUAGGCACUGAAAAGUAACCAGCUAACUUAGAGAUUUCACCAACAGGUCCAGAACCAUCUCCAGCUUCAGCUUGCCUUGAUUUAGCCUGCAGGGUCUGUGCUCAGUCACCGAGCCAACCUUCGAAGUUGCGGAACGGGAAAUAAGGGUCAUGGAGUCUGAAUGCAUAUUGUAUACUGGAUUUUUCUUUGGCUUGCUAAUGUAUUCAGAUCAGAAAUGAAUAAUGAUUCUGUGCAGCAAGGUUACCAGUCCUUUCAAUCUUUUUGAGCAUUAUUUUUGUUCUUCACCUCUGAAGACAGCACAGAGAGGAUGGGUUCAGAGGAAAUAAAUGUUCCCUAUACUCCUGGGUGUGCU
rnacentral:lncRNA from 1 species